rnacentral:rRNA from 1 species
AAUGAACGUUGGCGGCGUGGAUUAGGCAUGCAAGUCGAGCGAGAACCCCGCAAGGGGGGACAGCGGCGAAAGGGACAGUAAUGUGUAGAUUAUCUGCCCUCAGGUCCGGGAUAGCUGCGGGAAACUGCAGGUAAUACCGGAUAACAUCUCCGGAUCAAAGGUGUGAUUCCGCCUGAGGAUGCGUCUGCAUCCUAUUAGCUAGUUGGUGGGGUAAUGGCCUACCAAGGCAUUGAUGGGUAGCAGGUGUGAGAGCACGACCUGCGUCAUUGGGACUGAGACACUGCCCAGACACGUAAGGGUGGAGGCAGGAGAGAAUCGUAGGGAAUGGGCGCAAGCCUGAGCGAGCGAGGCCGCGUGUGGGAUGAAGGCCUUCGGGUUGUAAACCACUGUCAGAGGGGAUGAAAUGCAGGUGGGUUCUCCCAUCUGUUUGAGAUAGCAUCAGAGAAAGGACGGGCUAAGUUGGU